UCUACUCACCUAGGGUGACGAGGCGGCUGGGUGCCCGUGGCCACCUCAGACAGACACACACCUUUGCUCCGUGCCACACUCAGCGGCGCCCCUCGGACCACGAUGGUGGACUCCACCAAGCUCGGUCCCUGGUCCCGACCCCCUCCCGAAUCACAGCAGCGGGUCCUUGGAGUUCCAGCUGUGAAGUCAGGGCGCCUUCCGGCUCCUAGGCAGCUAAGUUGCUCCUGCUUUUAGUGCUGCUGAAGUGCCUGGCUACUCAUCACCCUGCCCCACCUUCUCAAAGCUGUGUUCGCAGCAAUGUAGUAGAAACCUUUGUGACUGGAUUUUUCUUUUCUUUUCUUUUUUUAAAAGAAGGUGGAAAUGGGACAGGAGAACACACGUCCUCGGGUGGAGGUUUCUUCCCCAUGAUGAAGUUUCUGCUCUGGGAAACUCCAGGGGACCGCACCUCUGCCACACACUGUUCUCCCCGGGGCAGGUUUACCUGAUGCGUCAGGAAAGCAGUUGUGCCAAACAGCAGGGCGACGCCUGGGGAAAUGGACUGGGGAGGACGACCCACAGUCCAUCUUGACACGCCCAGAUGGGAUUGCCUGCAAAGUUCUGGCCCAGUGGGGUUACAGUGAUGAAAGACAACAACCCUGGAGGAACGCACAGCAUAAGGAAAGCGCAAGGACCAGCAAGCUCUUUAAUUAAUAGCAACGUAGCCUGGGACAGUUGCUACCAGCAAGGAUGUCUCUAAGGUAUGGUGGAACAUGACAAUAAUCCCAGCGCUUGAGAAGCUGAUGCAAGAGGAUCAAGAAUUCCAGGCAAGCUUGGGCCUCAUAACAAGUUGGGACCAGCCUGAGAUACAUAGUGAAGACCUGACUCAAAACACCAAAGGCUGACUAUUGAAACCAAAAUGGCAGUUCCUCAGAAAACUGUGAAUCCAUUUACCAUAAAAUCCAGCGAUGCCACUCUUGGGCACAUAACUAAAGGACACUCCAUCCUACCACAGAGAUACUUGCUCAGCUAUGUUCAUUGCAGCAUUAUUCAUAAUAGCCAGAAACUGGAAACAACCUAGAUGUCCUCAAC